rnacentral:rRNA from 1 species
UACGUAGGGUGCAAGCGUUGUCCGGAAUUAUUGGGCGUAAAGAGCUUGUAGGCGGUUUGUCGCGUUGUCCGUGAAAACUCACAGCUUAACUGUGGGCGUGCGGGCGAUACGGGCAGACUGGAGUACUGCAGGGGAGACUGGAAUUCCUGGUGUAGCGGUGGAAUGCGCAGAUAUCAGGAGGAACACCGGUGGCGAAGGCGGAUCUCUGGGCCUGUCCUGACGCUCAGGCGCGAAAGCUAGGGGAGCAAACAGG